UGUCGUCUACGGGGGGCAGCAGUGAGGAAUAUUGGUCAAUGGGAGAGAUCCUGAACCAGCCACGCCGCGUGAGGGAAGACGGCCCUAUGGGUUGUAAACCUCUUUUGUCGGAGAACAAAACCCGGGACGAGUCCCGGAUUGCGUGUAUCCGAAGAAAAAGCAUCGGCUAACUCCGUGCCAGCAGCCGCGGUAAUACGGAGGAUGCGAGCGUUAUCCGGAUUUAUUGGGUUUAAAGAGUGCGUAGGCGGUCCGUUACGUCA
rnacentral:rRNA from 1 species